rnacentral:rRNA from 1 species
UACGUAGGGACCAAGCGUUGUUCGGAUUUACUGGGCGUAAAGGGCGCGUAGGCGGCAAUUCAAGUCAUCUGUGAAAUCUCCGGGCUUAACUCGGAACGGUCAGGUGAAACUGCUUUGCUAGAGUGCGGAAGGGGCAAUCGGAAUUCUCGGUGUAGCGGUGAAAUGCGUAGAUAUCGAGAGGAACACCUGAGGUGAAGACGGGUUGCUGGGCCGACACUGACGCUGCAGCGCGAAAGCCAGGGGAGCAAACGGG